UACAUGUUUUUUUUAUUAUUUUUGCCAUUCUUGCUUCUGCUUUGUUUGUCUGCUAUUUCUUGAAGGGCAUGGGCAUGCGCGGGGCGUGGUGGCCGACAAGGUGGAGCAAUGUCAGACGCUUGGGGGCGUGGUGGCCAAGGUUGGGGAGUGGCGGCUGAAAACUUGGUGGCUAGGUUUUUUUUUUGCUGCUGAAAAUGUUUAGUUUGUUGGGCUAGGUGGGCUUUAGGUUUUUUUUGUUGUUUGGGUCAUUUGAUGUGGGAGUUGGGCCUGCUGAAAUUGGGGUGGGUAUUUGGUUGUAUUUGGGCCAAAAUUGGCCUACAACAGCAGUCACAUUGGCUAUGCAUUCAACAAGUUGAUGAAGCAAAUUGGACAUCCGGAUGAGUUUGAAUUGCCAGAUUGCUUUAAUAAUUGACUUUCUGUUCCUUGUGUAGAGAUGGAUGAAUUUGCUUUAGGAUCUUAUUGGUCAUAGUCAUGGAGAAGCUGAAACUUUCGUAGCAAUUUCAGAAGAGGUUAUUGGCUCCCUAUAUAUCUUCUGGCAUAUUUUUAGAAAUUUUCAAGCUUUGGAUAAAAGGUCAUAAGGUGAUCGUUCUAGACAUUCCGUUGUUCUAGCUAUUCCAAUCAUUGAUGGAUUGAAGGAGAAAUUCGCUGAGGCAACGAGGUGAAACGAUGUUAAAGCUAUUGUUCUUACGGCAAGGGAGGAAGGUUUUCCAGUGGUUUUGAUAUCAAUGUUUUCACGAAAGUUCAUGGAACCGGUGAUGUGUCGGUCAUGCAUGAUGUAACUGUUGAUCUUGUCACUAAUGCUAUAAAAGGUGUUUCUAGCCCACGGACUACAGCUUGAGAAAAUAAACAAAGCUUUAAUAUUUGAUUGUAAAUUGUCUUGCAACGUUUAGAUGUUUUGUUGUUUUUAUUAAUAAACAAGAUGUUGUAUUUGGACUUGCUGUUUGUAAAAGACUUGCUGUAUUUUAUUUAUAUCUUUAUAUUUAAUCUAAUUUUUAUUAUUUA